rnacentral:lncRNA from 1 species
GUGUUACUGCCACUAUUGUAACCCGGACCUGGAUUUGAGAGACGACCCCUGCUGUUCUUUCCAGUGAAGCCACUGUGUUUCACGCAACCCACACAAGCCCUCUGUUCUCCCGAGCACUUCACAUCCCGAGGAAGCUCUUCUUCAUACCCUGGCCUGUCAACUGGCAGAGUGACGAGUGUGUCGAGAGGCCCAGCAGGAAGCCUGUCUGAGGACUGUGCAGUGUGACAGUAGCCAGCAGAAGAGCUGAGUGAGCCUUCCCAGGGGUUUCCCCAACGCCUUCCCUUCUGGGCCAUUUUCAACCUUUCUUUAUUGUACACUACUUAAUAGCUAAAUGUUUGUUUCUUACAUUCACAAAACAGCCAAUAACACAGGGUGGAGGGGUGCUGAGAAUCAUCUCUAAUUUUCAAAUAAAACUUGUUAUAUUUUG